AUGGGCCGCAACAAUUCCUGGAGGCUCCCGGGCAGCCGAGACAUCCAGCAGCGACUGGUGCUCGCGCUGACCUCCACCCCGAUCACCAUCAAGGACAUCCGCUCUGGCGAGGGGGGCCUCCGCUCGCACGAGAUGUCCCUCCUCCGCCUCCUCGACAAGGUCUCCGACGAGCACGUCAUCGACGUCAACGACAAAGGGAAGAAGGUCGGGUACAAGCCCGGGGUGGUCGUCGGCGGGAAGGACCUGGAGCACGACUGCGGGGUGCACCAUGGGAUCGGCUACUUCAUCGAGCUGCUCCUUCUGCUCGGCCUCUUCGCCAGGUCGCCCUUGUCCGUUCGGCUCAAAGGAAUCACAAAUGAUACAAAGGACCCUUCUGUGGAUACUUUCCAAAUGGUUACGUUGCAUAUGCUCAAGCAUUUUGGCGUUCCUCUUGAGGGAAUGUAGCUCAAAAUUGAAAGCCCGGGAGUUCCUCCUCAUGGUGGAGGUGAAGUGCUUCUUCGAGUUCCCAAUAUAAACAAUAUAUAAAAGGCAGUUAAUUGGGUUGUUGAAGGCAUGGUAAAGAGGAUAAGAGGUGUAACAUUCUCCACCAUAGUAUCUCCAUGGAUUGUAAGCCGUAUCCACUAUGCUGCAUGUGGACUCUUCAAUAAGUUUAUUCUAGAUGUUCAGAUCUUCACUGAUCAGAGAGCUGUUUCAUCUCGUGGCAGGUCAGCAGGCUAUGCCGUAUCUGUAAUUGCUGAGACCACAACAGGCUGUCUGAUUUCUGCAGAUGCUACUGUGAGUUAUCCCAAUGUUGAUGAAAUGAGUGAACAAUCUGAGAAGCCUGAGCAAGUUGCAUCGAUGCUGCUAGAAGAGGUGGCUCAAAGAGGAGUUGUUGACUCAACACACUAG
rnacentral:rRNA from 1 species